rnacentral:misc_RNA from 1 species
GAUGAAGAACGCAGCGAAAUGCGAUACGUAAUGUGAAUUGCAGAAUUCAGUGAAUCAUCGAAUCUUUGAACGCAUCUUGCGCUCCUUGGUAUUCCGAGGAGCAUGCCUGUUUGAGUGUCGUGAAUACUCUCAACUUCAACCCUUUUUUCGGAAAGGGAGGAAGGUUGGACUUGGGUGUUUGUUGAAGUGCGAGCUUCGACUCAUCCUAAAUGCAUUAGCGAUCUGCCUCGAUCACACACAAUGUGAUAAUUAAAACUAAAGCAUUGUUUAAUGAUCAAGUCGAGACUGCUUCUAACUGUCGCAAGACAAUAACGUGCAUACAUUUGUGCAUGUCAUUUGACCUCAAAUCAGGUAGGACUACCCGCUGAACUUAAGCAUAUCAAUAAGCGGAGGA